UACGGGGGGGGCAAGCGUUGUUCGGAAUUACUGGGCGUAAAGGGUUCGUAGGUGGCCUGCUAAGUCACACGUGAAAUCCCUCAGCUUAACUGGGGAACUGCGUGUGAGACUGGCGGGCUUGAGUGCAGGAGAGGAACGCGGAAUUCCAGGUGUAGCGGUGAAAUGCGUAGAUAUCUGGAGGAACACCGGUGGCGAAGGCGGCGUUCUGGACUGCUACUGACACUGAGGAACGAAGCCAGGGGAGCAAACGGG
rnacentral:rRNA from 1 species